AUCAGACCAAGAAACAAGCUGGGGAG
rnacentral:piRNA from 1 species